UUUUACUGUUACAGAAAUGGCCACCCUAGUAAUAGGACAUGGAAUAGAAUAUCUUUAACUAACAGCAAAGUAAUAUUAAUGUUUUAGAUUAUAUAACAGAGAUGACUGUUCUGAAAACGUUCUAUCUGGACUUCUGAAUUCGAAAUUGGUGAUUUGAUUAAAUAGUUAAAAGUUUUUUGAGUGUUUUACGGUUUAUUAUUGCUUUCACACAUUACUCUUUCUGACAUAAUCACGUGGUAACAGUGACAUGGUCUCACAUUGCUAUAGUCCUCCAACAUUCAAUGACAUUCACAGAUGUGCCCAGAGGAUUUUAGAUUAGUCAAAUCAGCACGUGUCCAUCAUGAGGAGUUGUAAACACACCCUUAUCUUUCUCCAAACAGGUUCCCAGUCUCUCUCUAAACAAAGUGUGCUGAGUUAAAGAGCAAAGUACUAGCUGACCCUGAUUUCCUGGAAGACAAGUAUCACAGCAGGGACAUAAAAGAAUGUUCCCCUGGAGCAGCACAAGUGAAGCUGCAGGACAGGAAGUGAACAUGGCUCAAAUGACAAAGGCACAUUGUCCCAGUACCGACCCACAGCAGAGAGCAAGACCUGAGAACAAACUGGCCGGCCAGGACUCAGCAUUGACCAGCAUGACAAUGAGCCACACAGAGCCCACAGAGGCGAGAGAAAGAACAGAGAGCGGAGGCACAGCCAAGGCUAGCACACAACCUCUCUGCACUUCAUUAUGAUCUCCUCAUCCUGCAGGAAAGAGGCACUGGCUGUUCUCAGAGCUGCAAACGAGGGAGGAAGGACAGAUAAUGCUCCCUCACCAGCUGAUCUAGCAGACUGACGGCAAUAAAUAUCUGAGCAAGAAGGAGCUUUGAGGUGUGAACUUUCCACAAGACCUCGUCAAUGACCUUGAGGUUUGAUUUGAACAAGAAUUAAAACAUUAAGCUAGCAUUACCCCAGAAAAUUAUUUCAUAAGUUUGUUAAAAACAAAAAAACAUGUUUACAGUAAUGCAUUUACAAUGGCAGUCUAUGAGGAAGGGUAGGAAUAAGCAACUCAUACAAUACACUCUGAAAAAUUAAGGAUAUUAACUGGCAUUGAUGGUUCCAUGAGGAACCUUUAAAAAUAAAGAUUACUAAGGUAAGUAUUUUUUUUUUUUUUUGCAAUAAUUCCACAAAAGAACCAUUUUGGGAUCCUCAAAGAACCUUUCAGUGAAAAGUUCUUAAAAGAACCAUUUUUUUCUUAGUGUGAAAAACAUUUUAAUAAUCUAAAUAACAUUUUGUCCGAGUCAAACCCUAGUGAAAAAUAAAUGUACUAAAAUGUAUUUGAAGCACAUUUAUUUCAGUAAGUAUACUACAAUUACAUUUACAUAUUUAUGUACUUAAUAAUACCCUGCAGUUGUACUUUUAGUAUACUAAACUGGUAUAAUUAAACUCUGCUAUAUUGGAACAACUAAUUUUGUGUUUAAUGCACUUUAAUUGUCUGGAAGUCAUGCUGAAGUCCAACUAAAGACAUACUGAAGUAUAUUUGAUUGUGCUGAAGUGUAACUAUUGCAAGUAUAAAUUUUAAAUAUUUUGCAUUUAAAGGCCAAUAUUAUAAAAAGAUCAUGCAAUCCUCAUCAACAGUGAUAUUAAAACACAUUUUAGGCUUAAUAUUAAGAAAUGUGCAUUGUGCACAAGUAGCAUUCCAAAUAAGUUUAAUUAUAAUUUUUAUAUAAGUCUUGAAUGAUAUGUCAGUGAAUAUGUUAAUAGAUUUGAACUAUACUUUGUAUGAAAUAAAUGUAUUUUAAAUAUAUUACAUUAUUUUUUUUUUACCUUAUAAAUUAAUGAAUGUAUUAAUAUUAAAGGUUCUUCAUGGAACCAUCUAUGCCAAUAAAGAACCUUUAUUUUUAAGAGUGUAUGUUUCACAUAAGGUUCAUUAUUGUGAAAAGGUUCUUUAGAUUUUUUAAAUGUUCUUUACAAAUAAUUAAUUUGUACAAUUAUAUUAUAUUAUAUUUUAGAUAAUAUAUAUUUACAAAUAUA
ensembl:lncRNA